GACACUUUGGCCGAGUGGUUAAGGCGAUGCCCUGCUAUUAAGCGAUUAAUAUCACAGGCAUUGUGUUCGCACGCGCAGGUUCGAAUCCUGCAGGUGUCG
rnacentral:tRNA from 1 species